CUGGGAUUACAGGUGUGAGCCACCGUGCCCGGCCAACACUACAAUUUAAAUACGGUGUUUUGGAGUAAAAUAAAAACUAAGCAGAGACUACCUUGUCUGGCCAUGACAGAGUAACUGGUGUCAGAUGUACCUCCUUGCUAUAAAUAGGUGUUAUGGACUAAACGUUUGUGUCCCAACCUCAAAACUCAUAGCCUUAAUCGCUAAUGUGAUGGUAUUUGGAGAUGAGACCUUUGGGAGGUGAUUAGCAUUAGAUGAGUUUCUGAGGGUGGGGCCCUGAUGGAUAGGAUAAGUGCCCUUAGAAGAACAGAUACCACAGGGCUUGCUUCCCUCCACACACAUACACAAACAAGAGGUCACCACCUACAAGUCAAGAAAAGAGGCUGAAAAAUAAAACCUAUCUUGCUAAUAUCUUGAUCUUAGACUUUCUAGCUUCCAGAGCUGCAAGAAAUAAAAUUAUAUUGUUUAAGCCAUGCCAUUUACAGUAUUUUGUUAUAGCAGUUUUGUUACAGACUAAGAUAACAGCUAGCCACGACACUGAGCAAAAUGUAUGUGGCAACUGUUUUGAGACAGUAGACAAGAGGCAAUGCAGGAGAGUAACCCAUGAGAGACAAGAAACAUACCAGUCUGAAAUUAUUCAAACUAAAGAGUUACCAGAGAACUUGUCAUCACUGGAAGGAACAAGAGCUUCCCUCAAAAACAUGAUUCAGACUGCCAGUCUCAUCCUCUAAGCCAUGAGUCCCUGACUCCCCAGCCACGGACCAGUACCAGUUUGUGGCCCAUUAGGAACCAGGCCGCACAGCAGGAGGUGAGUGGUGGGUAAGUGAACAAAGCUUUAUCUGCAUUUGCGGUCACUCCCUGUCGCUCACAUUACCACCUGAGCUCCGCCUCCUGUCAAAUCAGCAGUGGCAUUAGAUUCUCAUAGGAGCACAAACCCUACUGUUAACUGAGCAUGCAGGGGAUCUAGGCUGCCCUCUCCUUAUAAGAAUCUAA
rnacentral:lncRNA from 1 species